GACGAACGCUGGCGGCGUGCCUAAUACAUGCAAGUUGAGCGCUGAAGGUUGGUACUUGUACCAACUGGAUGAGCAGCGAACGGGUGAGUAACGCGUGGGGAAUCUGCCUUUGAGCGGGGGACAACAUUUGGAAACGAAUGCUAAUACCGCAUAAAAACUUUAAACACAAGUUUUAAGUUUGAAAGAUGCAAUUGCAUCACUCAAAGAUGAUCCCGCGUUGUAUUAGCUAGUUGGUGAGGUAAAGGCUCACCAAGGCGAUGAUACAUAGCCGACCUGAGAGGGUGAUCGGCCACAUUGGGACUGAGACACGGCCCAAACUCCUACGGGAGGCAGCAGUAGGGAAUCUUCGGCAAUGGACGAAAGUCUGACCGAGCAACGCCGCGUGAGUGAAGAAGGUUUUCGGAUCGUAAAACUCGGUUGGUAGAGAAGAACGUUGGCGAGAGUGGAAAGCUCAUCAAGUGACGGUAACUACCCAGAAAGGGACGGCUAACUACGUG
rnacentral:rRNA from 1 species